rnacentral:rRNA from 1 species
UACUGGGCGUAAAGCGGGCGCAGACGGUUACUUAAGCAGGAUGUGAAAUCCCUGGGCUCAACCUGGGAACUGCGUUNUGAACUGGGUGACUAGAGUGUGUCAGAGGGAGGUAGAAUUNCACGUGUAGCAGUGAAAUGCGUAGAGAUGUGGAGGAAUACCGAUGGCGAAGNCAGCCUCCUGGGAUAACACUGACGUUCAUGCCCGAAAGCGUGGGUAGCAAACAGGAUUAGAUACCCUGGUAGUCCACGCCCUAAACGAUGUCGAUUAGCUGUUGGGCAGCAUGACUGCUUAGUAGCGAAGCUAACGCGUGAAAUCGACCGCCUGGGGAGUACGGUCGCAAGAUUAAAACUCAAAGGAAUUGACGGGGACCCGCACAAGCGGUGGAUGAUGUGGAUUAAUUCGAUGCAACGCGAAGAACCUUACCUGGUCUUGACAUGUACGGAACCCUCCAGAGACGGAGGGGUGCCUUCGGGAGCCGUAACACAGGUGCUGCAUGGCUGUCGUCAGCUCGUGUCGUGAGAUGUUGGGUNANNNNNNNNCAACGAGCGCAACCCUUGUCAUUAGUUGCCAUCAUUAAGUUGGGCACUCUAAUGAGACUGCCGGUGACAAGCCGGAGGAAGGUGGGGAUGACGUCAAGUCCUCAUGGCCCUUAUGACCAGGGCUUCACACGUCAUACAAUGGUCGGUACAGAGGGUAGCCAAGCCGCGAGGCGGAGCCAAUCUCACAAAACCGAUCGUAGUCCGGAUUGCACUCUGCAACUCGAGUGCAUGAAGUCGGAAUCGCUAGUAAUCGCAGGUCAGCAUACUGCGGUGAAUACGUUCCCGGGUCU